GCGCGUAGGCGGCUCGUUAAGUGUGAAGUGAAAUCUCCAGGGCUCAACCCGGAAACUGCUUCGCAUACUGGCGAGCUCGAGGAAUGCAGAGGUAAGUGGAAUUCCUGGUGUAGCGGUGAAAUGCGUUGAUAUCAGGAGGAACACCCAUGGCGAAGGCAGCUUACUGGGCAUUAUCUGACGCUGAGGCGCGAAAGCGUGGGUAGCAAACAGGAUUAGAUACCCUGGUAGUCCACGCCCUAAACGAUGGAUACUAGGCGUAAGAGGUAUCGAUCCCUCUUGUGCCGCAGCUAACGCAUUAAGUAUCCCGCCUGGGGAGUACGGCCGCAAGGUUGAAACUCAAAUGAAUUGACGGGGACCCGCACAAGCGGUGGAGCAUGUGGAUUAAUUCGAUACUAACCGAAGAACCUUACCCAGGUUUGACAUCGAUCGCAACUCUGAGAGAUCAGAGCCUCUCCCCAAAAGGGAGACGUGAAGACACUUGUUGCAUGGCUGUCGUCAGCUCGUGCCGUGAGGUGUACGGUUAAGUCCGCCAACGAGCGCAACCCUCGUCCUAUGUU
rnacentral:rRNA from 1 species